AACGCGAAGAACCUUACCAAGGCUUGACAUACACCGGAAACGGCCAGAGAUGGUCGCCCCCUUGUGGUCGGUGUACAGGUGGUGCAUGGCUGUCGUCAGCUCGUGUCGUGAGAUGUUGGGUUAAGUCCCGCAACGAGCGCAACCCUUGUUCUGUGUUGCCAGCAUGCCCUUCGGGGUGAUGGGGACUCACAGGAGACUGCCGGGGUCAACUCGGAGGAAGGUGGGGACGACGUCAAGUCAUCAUGCCCCUUAUGUCUUGGGCUGCACACGUGCUACAAUGGCCGGUACAAAGAGCUGCGAAACCGUGAGGUGGAGCGAAUCUCAAAAAGCCGGUCUCAGUUCGGAUUGGGGUCUGCAACUCGACCCCAUGAAGUCGGAGUUGCUAGUAAUCGCACAUCAGCAUUGCUGCGGUGAAUACGUUCCCGGGCCUUGUACACACCG
rnacentral:rRNA from 1 species